GGACUACCGGGGUAUCUAAUCCUGUUUGCUCCCCACGCUGUCGCGCCUCAGUGUCAGAACUGGUCUAGCUGGCCGCCUUCGCCACGAGUGUUCUCCCCCAUCUCUACGCAUUUCACCGCUACACAGGGAAUUCCACCAGCCCCUCCCAGCCUCAAGUCCUGCAGUUUCUACCGACGAGCUACAGUUGAGCUGUACCCUUUCACGAUAGACAUACAGAACCACCUACGCGCCCUUUACGCCCAAUGAUUCCGAACAACGCUUGCCCCUUCCGUAUUACCGCGGCGGCUGGCAC
rnacentral:rRNA from 1 species